rnacentral:rRNA from 1 species
CGGCCACAUUGGGACUGAGAUACGGCCCAGACUCCUACGGGAGGCAGCAGUGGGGAAUAUUGCACAAUGGGCGCAAGCCUGAUGCAGCGACGCCGCGUGCGGGAUGACGGCCUUCGGGUUGUAAACCGCUUUUGACUGGGAGCAAGCCCUUCGGGGUGAGUGUACCUUUCGAAUAAGCACCGGCUAACUACGUGCCAGCAGCCGCGGUAAUACGUAGGGUGCAAGCGUUAUCCGGAAUUAUUGGGCGUAAAGGGCUCGUAGGCGGUUCGUCGCGUCCGGUGUGAAAGUCCAUCGCUUAACGGUGGAUCCGCGCCGGGUACGGGCGGGCUUGAGUGCGGUAGGGGAGACUGGAAUUCCCGGUGUAACGGUGGAAUGUGUAGAUAUCGGGAAGAACACCAAUGGCGAAGGCAGGUCUCUGGGCCGUCACUGACGCUGAGGAGCGAAAGCGUGGGGAGCGAACAGGAUUAGAUACCCUGGUAGUCCACGCCGUAAACGGUGGAUGCUGGAUGUGGGGACCAUUCCACGGUCUCCGUGUCGGAGCCAACGCGUUAAGCAUCCCGCCUGGGGAGUACGGCCGCAAGGCUAAAACUCAAAGAAAUUGACGGGGGCCCGCACAAGCGGCGGAGCAUGCGGAUUAAUUCGAUGCAACGCGAAGAACCUUACCUGGGCUUGACAUGUUCCCGACAGCCGUAGAGAUACGGUCUCCCUUCGGGGCGGGUUCACAGGUGGUGCAUGGUCGUCGUCAGCUCGUGUCGUGAGAUGUUGGGUUAAGUCCCGCAACGAGCGCAACCCUCGCCCUGUGUUGCCAGCACGUCGUGGUGGGAACUCACGGGGGACCGCCGGGGUCAACUCGGAGGAAGGUGGGGAUGACGUCAGAUCAUCAUGCCCCUUACGUCCAGGGCUUCACGCAUGCUACAAUGGCCGGUACAACGGGAUGCGACCUCGUGAGGGGGAGCGGAUCCCUUAAAACCGGUCUCAGUUCGGAUUGGAGUCUGCAACCCGACUCCAUGAAGGCGGAGUCGCUAGUAAUCGCGGAUCAGCAACGCCGCGGUGAAUGCGUUCCCGGGCCUUGUACACACCGCCCGUCAAGUCAUGAAAGUGGGUAGCACCCGAAGCCGGUGGCCCAACCUUUUUGGGGGGAGCCGUCUAAGGUGAGACUCGUGAUUGGGACUAAGUCGUAACAAGGUAGCCGUACCGGAAGGUGCGGCUG